rnacentral:tRNA from 1 species
GCGGACGUGGCGGAAUUGGCAGACGCGCUAGACUUAGGAUCUAGUCUCGUAAGAGGUGGGAGUUCAACUCUCCCCGUCCGCA